CUCUAAAGUACUGCAGGGUGGUGCUGAUACAAAAAUUGACAACAUUGCAUUGUGGAGGAGGAGAACUAUGUACUUGUUUUGGCACUGUCUAUAUGCACAUACCUAGUUUGGAGUCCAGGAAUGGGAACUUAGUGACUCGGUAGAGAGGAAGUAUCAGUCAUUCCACUAGGUUUUAUGUGGACUGUUUUGCAGAACUCACAUAGUGGGCAUAACUGAAGAUGCAAGAGCAAGUCAUCACC